GUUUCUUUCAUUUUUUAGCUGAAUUGACAGAGAGUGGGGGUUGAUUGGUUUGAUUAGAGUUUGCUUAUGAGGAAUUUGUAUUUGAUUGCAGGUAGAGGUUCUGGGCGAUUGGUUGGGCUGAUUGGGAAAAGGUGAAGUUUUCUAAGGUUGAAUUGCUCCCAAAAGGCUUGGAAAUCCAGUUUCAAUUGCUCGCAAUAAGCUUGGAAAUCUGGUUUCUUUCACAGAAGGCAUUGAAAAUGUAAUUUUCUGUUUGUAUGUAGUUCAGACUCCAAAGUUGCAUAUACUCAAGAACUUGGGAAAACCAGUUUUUUAAACUUCUUGACGCAGAAGUUUGACAGUUUAAGGAUUCUGCUCCAAGCCUUACCUUUCUGGCAAAAGCUGAAAUCAAUUGGGAAGCACGAACAAACAAGUGGUGACUCUCUAUCCUCUACAUCAAAGGGGAAGAAGGUAGAUAAGAUAACUCGGAGAAAAGGAAGAGGGGACGGAAAGCUGUCAUGGUUUCGUUUUGAUUGCGCACAACAAUCGUGACAGGCAAUUAACC